GACGAACGCUGGCGGCGUGCUUAACACAUGCAAGUCGAACGGAAAGGCCCUGCUUUUGUGGGGUGCUCGAGUGGCGAACGGGUGAGUAACACGUGAGUAACCUGCCCUUGACUUUGGGAUAACUUCAGGAAACUGGGGCUAAUACCGGAUAGGAGCUCCUGCUGCAUGGUGGGGGUUGGAAAGUUUCGGCGGUUGGGGAUGGACUCGCGGCUUAUCAGCUUGUUGGUGGGGUAGUGGCUUACCAAGGCUUUGACGGGUAGCCGGCCUGAGAGGGUGACCGGCCACAUUGGGACUGAGAUACGGCCCAGACUCCUACGGGAGGCAGCAGUGGGGAAUAUUGCACAAUGGGCGGAAGCCUGAUGCAGCAACGCCGCGUGCGGGAUGACGGCCUUCGGGUUGUAAACCGCUUUCGCCUGUGGCGAAGCGUGAGUGUCGGUAAUGGGUAAAGAAGCACCGGCUAACUACGUG
rnacentral:rRNA from 1 species